GACGAACGCUGGCGGCGUGCUUAACACAUGCAAGUCGAACGGAAAGGCCCUGCUUUUGUGGGGUGCUCGAGUGGCGAACGGGUGAGUAACACGUGAGUAACCUGCCCUUGACUAUGGGACAACUUCCGGAAACUGGGGCUAAUAACGGAUCGGAGCUCCUGCUGCAUGGUGGGGGUUGGAAAGUUUCGGCGGUUGGGGAUGGACACGCGGCGUAUCAGCUUGUUGGUGGGGUGGUGGCUUACCAAGGCUUUGACGGGUAGCCGGCCUGCGAGGGUGACCGGCCACAUUGGGGCUGAUAAGCGGCCCAGACUCCUACGGGAGGCAGCAGUGGGGAAGAAUGCAGAAUGGGCGGAGGCCUGAUGCAGCAGCGCCGCGUGGGGGAUGACGGCGUUCGGGUUGUAGACCGCUUUCGUCUGUGACGAAGCGUGAGUGGCGGUAAUGGGUAAAGAAGCACCGGCUAACUACG
rnacentral:rRNA from 1 species